CCCUUAGAUGUUCUGGGCCGCACGCGUGCUACACUGACACUUACACCGAGUUUUUCCAAUGCCGAAAGGCCAUUGGUAAUCAGCAAUAAGUGUCGUGAUGGGGAUAGAUCUUUGGAAUUAUUGAUCUUGAACGAGGAAUGCCUAGUAAUCGUAGGUCAUCAGCCUGCGAUGAUUACGUCCCUGCCCUUUGUACACACCGCCCGUCGCUCCUACCGAUUUCGAGUGGUUCGGUGAACCUUUCGGACCGGCAAUGCCUCGUGUUGCGCCGGAAAGUCAAGUAAACCAUAUCACUUAGAGGAAGGAGAANUCGUANCA
rnacentral:rRNA from 1 species